GAUGAACGCUAGCGGCAGGCUUAAUACAUACAAGUCGAGGGGCAGCGCGGAUAGCAAUAUCUGGCGGCGACCGGCGCACGGGUGCGUAACGCGUAUGCAAUCUACCUAUAACCGGGAAAUAGCCCAGAGAAAUCUGGAUUAAUGUCCCAUAGUAUUAUCGAGUGGCAUCACUUGAUAAUUAAAAUUACGGUGGUUAUAGAUGAGCAUGCGUGCCAUUAGUUUGUUGGUGAGGUAACGGCUCACCAAGACUACGAUGGCUAGGGGGUCUGAGAGGAGGAUCCCCCACACUGGUACUGAGACACGGACCAGACUCCUACGGGAGGCAGCAGUAAGGAAUAUUGGGCAAUGGGCGAAAGCCUGACCCAGCCAUGCCGCGUGAAGGAAGACGGCCCUCGUGGUUGUAAACUUCUUUUGUACGGGAAUAAACUUUCGGACGUGUCCGGAAUUGAAGGUACCGUAAGAAUAAGGAUCGGCUAACUCCGUGCCAGCCGCCGCUGUAAUAC
rnacentral:rRNA from 1 species